rnacentral:lncRNA from 1 species
AUACCAACUUAAAAUUCUUAAAGAAUUGCUUUUUCUUAGCAAGCAGAGCAGAGUAAAACCAGAGAGCUUUCGUUUGCUCUAAAUAAAACUUGAAUUGAUUUCAUUGCUUACAGGCCAACGUAUAUAUACAUAAGAAAACAAAAUGACAGCUAGCUAAAAGAUAACAAAUUCAGAUAAAACAAAAACAAUCACUAAAUCAUUGGCCAAUGAUAUAGAGCUUCUAGAAUCUUCAUCCAAUCAUCCCAUGUGCUGAUAUUCCUCUGUGUAACUGUUUUGCCACCUCAUUGAAUUCCUCUCAUUUCUUUCAUCAGCUGACUGUAAUUGUGAGUAGCUCAGGUGGCAUGCCACUGUGUCAUUGAGGUCAUCAGUUGACUGGCUGAGAUCAUGGCUGCCAUGGCUGCUAUUUUCAACACCCUCUCUCAAACACAAGGUUUUGUCAAACACCUUGAGUUUGCUUCUGAAGCAGCUAAAUUUGUAAUAAGGUAACGGCUUAGUUAGAACAUCAGUUAUUUGAUCCCUGCCUGCAACAAAACUGAUUUCCAUUUCACCUCUAGCUACCUUAUCCCUGAUAAAAUGUAGGUCUAUCUCAAAGUGUUUAGUCUUUGAAUGAAAAACAGGAUUGGUAGCCAUUGCUGCUGCACUUGUGCUAUCACUUAAGAUUGUUGGUGUUCUUUGCAUCUCUAGUUUCAGCUCACUUAGUAAGGAGCUAAUCCAUGUAAUUUCUGCAGCACAGAGGGCCAUUGCUCUGUAUUCUGAUUCAGUCGUAGAUCUAGCAACCAAACCUUGCUUUCUUGAACUCCAGGCAAUGAGAUUUCCACCCAGAAAUACACAAUAGCCACUGAUGGACCUCCUGUCAUCCAAAUCAUUUUCCCAGUCUGCAUCUGUGUAAGCCACCAAAUCAAAAUACUCUGACUUCUUGAAUUUCAGACACAUGUUCAUGGUGUUUUUAAGAUACCUCAAUACUCUUUUGCAUGCUAUCCAGUGAGGUUGCCUAGGAUCUGACAUGUAUUGGCUGAGCUUGUUCACUGAGUAAGCAAGCUCAGGCCUUGUGAGUGUUGCAUACUGCAGGCUGCCUAUAACACUUCGAUACAAUGUGGGAUCAUGAAACUUUUCUCCUUCAUUCUUCUUCAGCUUUUCUGUGGUACUGAAAGGUGAUUCAAUUCCUUUACAGUCACUCAUUUCUGUUUUGGCAAGCAAAUCUUGAAUAUACUUGGUUUGAGACAGCAAAAUGGCAUUUUGUUUUCUGUUUACCUGAAUCCCCAGAAAGAAGUUUAGCUCUCCCAAAUCCUUUAAGGCAAAGGUCCUAUUUAAGUUGCUAACCAGCUCUUCAAUACUACCACUAUUAUCACCAGUAAUAAUAAUGUCAUCAACAUAAAUAAGCAAUAUAACUAUCUCAGAUUUAGUUUUUCUGUAGAACAAUGAGGUAUCACACUUAGAAUUUUCAAAUCCCCAAGAGUUUAAGGCACCCUUCAGUUUGUCAAACCAUGCCCUGGGGGCUUGUCUCAAGCCAUACAGUGCUUUCUUUAAUCUGCAUAUGUGAUUUGGCUUGCUUUUGUUCACAAAACCUUCAGGUUGUGGCAUGUAAACCAUCUCUGUCAGCUCACCAUUCAAGAAGGCAUUGUUUAUAUCUACCUGCCUCAGCAACCAGUCAUUGUUCACUGCCAAAGUGAGGAUGAUUCUGAUUGUUACAGCCUUGACAACUAGGCUGAAAGUCUCUGUGAAAUCAAUGCCUGGAAUUUGCAAGAACCCCUUCACCACUAAUCUAGCCUUAUAUUUGUUUAUGGUUCCAUCUGGAUUUUCUUUAACUCUGUACACCCAUUUAUUUCCAAUUAGCUUGUGGCUUGAGUCAUUUGGUACCAAGGUCCAUGUUUCAUUUUUCAUCAAUGCAUUGUACUUAUCUUCCAUUGCCCUUUUCCAGCUUGGUUCUUUUAAAGCUUCUGAGGUGUUUGAGGGUAAUGCUAUGUGUGGUUGAGUAGUGAUUUGGUACAAUUUUGGUUUAAAGAUCCCUGCUUUAGAUUUUGUUACCAUAGGGUGUGAUGAUAUAACUUCUUUUGUGUUGGGUGCUGUGAUAGUGGAUGAAGGUUGGUCAUUUGCUUGAGGCUGGUGAUUUGAAUGAGGUGAGGAUAACUGAUUAUUUGAUAUCAUAUCAUUGCUUAAAUUCUGUUGUGUCUUACCUUGGUCAAGGUUCUGUGCUGAUAUUCCUCUGUGUAACUGUUUUGCCACCUCAUUGAAUUCCUCUCAUUUCUUUCAUCAGCUGACUGUAAUUGUGAGUAGCUCAGGUGGCAUGCCACUGUGUCAUUGAGGUCAUCAGUUGACUGGCUGAGAUCAUGGCUGCCAUGG